GGCAUCGUGUGUGCCGGCCAUCCUCUCUGGGGGCGAGUGGCUGCUCUUCCUGCAAGCUGGAGAGACUUCAGUAUAAAUGAAAAGACUAAACCCCUGAAUGCAGAAACAGCAGCUGCCAAUUUAUUUUGUUUGGAGCAGUAUUCACAUCACACGUUCAAGUAUGCACAGAGUGUAUUAAAAUAGCUAUCUAGAAAUACAGAGGAUGAUGCACUUGGCUGCUCCUGGAAAAUUCAUGAAUCAUGGUUUCCAAGCAAGAAAGAGAUCCACCAGCAUAUAAAUCUGCUGAAGAUGCAGGCUUUGAAGACUUCAUCUUCUUGACAAAAGUGCUAAAGUAUUUUACUAGAAAGAAUCAUAACAAAGCCUGAAAGCAAAUGCAGGAUUGUCAGACAGAUGGAAGAAUCGUGCAGAAGAAAAGGCAGCCAGCCAUGGGUCAUGGUUUUGCAAGUGCCUAGUGCAGCACAUCCAGGGACAAACCCAUGCCUCAAGCAGCUGGGCAGUAAAGAAGGCCAAGCAAAUCCUUUUCAGAUGCAGCAGCGAGUGCUGCUUCUUCAAUCAGCCUCCCCAGACAUGCACCACUGUCCCUCGGGCUGAAGAAAGAGAAAACCUCUAUAUAACAGUGCAAGGCCAGUCUUGUCUCCAUGACAGUGUGCUGUAACAGGAAGGGAUUUGGAAAGACUCAUCUUCUCUACCCAUCAGCUGAGCAAUGUUCUUCUCUGCCUGUUAAUUGCACUUAGUGUUGAACCACUGCAACAAACAGAAUCUUCCUUCACUCCAUCAAGAAAUUUGCAUCUUUUCCAUCUCCUUACUUUUUCCUAUCUUACUGCUUCUGCCCUUGGUACCUCUCUCCCUGUUUUUGCAUUUUCUCAUAAAGAUGCAUUUAUUCUACUUCCAUCUCUCCCAGUCUUUUCUUCUUCUCUAAGCAUUUCCCCUUUUCAAGUGUUAUCACUCAAUGGAAACAGUUCAGGCCUAUCUCACAUCUCAGCUGCAAUCCCUGUAGUGUCUGUGCCAUCCUAGUAAUAGUUCUGUUCCCAUCUGAGAUCAAAACAAGGACAAGUAGCAAGAAUAUGUGUUUCCAAAAGCAAUCCAUGGCACUGAGCCAAAGCUUGCUGAAGUCAUGAGGGCUUUUCCAAUGACUCCAACAUUUUUGGAUCAUAAAAUAUGCAGUAUUGUUUUUAAACACAAAUCAAAUUAAGCAAUGUUUUCUGAUUGACUAUACUCAGUAAUUUUUGUGCACGUCACAAAAAUCUUAUGGAAGAAAUAGAGAUCAUGACUUUAUGAGCCAGGAAGGGGAAGCUUAUCUAUGCAUCAAGAAAAUCCAAUAACAUUUCUGGCACAAUAAGAAGUUGACUAAAACAUCAGGAUAGAGAGAUCUGGAGAAUUUGUGACCAGAAACUUUUAGGGACUGAAACUAUUUACGACUCCCUCUUUUUUCAUCAAAGCUUCAUCUUGACACCUGUUGUGAAAUUUGCCCAUAUUGGAUGAAAAUGUUCAAAUUUUGAAAUACUUAUAGGGAAGUAAAAUAUUUGUUUCCUUUAUUUGACAAAAUGUAGGUCUUACCUGUCAGAAUAACAGACCCACAACAGCAGCCAAAUAUUUGUCUGUUAUUUCAGUCAUUAAUUUUGAUCCUUUUACUCCUGGGCUGUUUUGGUGGGUAGUAUGAAAAAGGGAGAUGACUAGAAAUGUCCCUUAACUGGAGUACCCAGAGAAGGUGGCUCUUCUUGUGUGUGUCAGUACAUGAGCAACUGCUCUUUGGUGUGGAGUUUGAUGUUACAGCCAUCUGCUGCCAUAGCACAAGCAUUUUCUUUUAGCUACAGAUGCUGAAUGGCAGAGAUUACCAAACCAACAAAGUUUCCACUACUAGGAGCCUGAGAGUCCCUCAAAAGAUGAAUAUUUUAUGUAGAUGGUCUCACACUUCAGGAGUGUGAGUAACAGAGUUAAUUCAAAUGUAUUUCACGUGAUGUCAGGAGCUAGUCCUUUUAUGUCAUUUUGUCUUUUUAAAGGUAAUUUUUUCCCUAUUCUUUGUGGUGAUUAUUUAAAAUAAAGUUGCCAUAUCUUUUCA
rnacentral:lncRNA from 1 species